rnacentral:rRNA from 1 species
AGAGUUUGAUCAUGGCUCAGGAUGAACGCUGGCGGUAUGCUUUACACAUGCAAGUCGUACGGGAGUUUUGAACUCCAGUGGCGGACGGGUGAGUAACACGUAAGAAUUUGCCUUUAGGAGGGGGAUAACAACUGGAAACGGUUGCUAAUACCCCAUAUGCUUUCGAGUGAAAUGGAUUUUUCCGCCUAGAGAGAAGCUUGCGGCUGAUUAGCUUGUUGGUAAGGUAACGGCUUACCAAGGCGACGAUCAGUAUCUGGUUUGAGAGGACGAUCAGACACACUGGAACUGAGACACGGUCCAGACUCCUACGGGAGGCAGCAGUGGGGAAUUUUCCGCAAUGGGCGAAAGCCUGACGGAGCAAUACCGCGUGAGGGAUGACGGCCUAUGGGUUGUAAACCUCUUUUUUCAGGGAGGAAAAAAAUGACGUUACCUGAAGAAUAAGCAUCGGCUAACUCCGUGCCAGCAGCCGCGGUAAGACGGAGGAUGCAAGUGUUAUCCGGAAUCACUGGGCGUAAAGCAUCUGUAGGUGGUUGAAUAAGUCAACUGUUAAAUCUUGGGGCUCAACCUCAAAAUCGCAGUCGAAACUAUUCGACUUGAGUAUAGUAGGGGUAAAGGGAAUUUCCAGUGGAGCGGUGAAAUGCGUAGAGAUUGGAAAGAACACCGAUGGCGAAGGC